AUUGAACGCUGGCGGCAGGCCUAACACAUGCAAGUCGAGCGGCAGCGGGAAAGUAGCUUGCUACUUUUGCCGGCGAGCGGCGGACGGGUGAGUAAUGCCUGGGAAAUUGCCCAGUCGAGGGGGAUAACAGUUGGAAACGACUGCUAUCCCGCAUACGCCCCACGGGGAAACCAGGGGACCUUCGGGCCUUUUCCCCUCGGAUCUGCCCGGGCGGGAUUAGGGGGUUGGUGGGGUAAUGGCGCACCAAGGCGACGAUCCCUAGCUGGUCUGAGAGGAUGAUCAGCCACACUGGAACUGAGACACGGUCCAGACUCCUACGGGAGGCAGCAGUGGGGAAUAUUGCACAAUGGGGGCAACCCUGAUGCAGCCAUGCCGCGUGUGUGAAGAAGGCCUUCGGGUUGUAAAGCACUUUCAGCGAGGAGGAAAAGUGGAUGCCUAAUACGUAUCAACUGUGACGUUACUCGCAGAAGAAGCACCGGCUAACUCCGUGCCAGCCGCCGCGGUAA
rnacentral:rRNA from 1 species